AUUUGUGUGAGGAGUAGGUUUAAGUUUCUAAAUCAAAAGAAAAAGCUCUUGGGGUCGAAACACGGCAAGACUCCCAAGAGCUUUUUCUCAAU
rnacentral:sRNA from 1 species